AUGUUGUGGCUCAGCGAUAGAGCCCUUGCCUAGUACGUGCGAGGCCCUGGGUUCGAUCCUCAGCAUCGCAUA
rnacentral:tRNA from 1 species